GGUGAACGCUAGCGGUGCGCCUAACACAUGCAAGUCGAGCGGUAGAAUUGAAAUUGAAGCUUCGGCCGAUUUUUUAAUUUGAGAGCGGCGAACGGGUGAGUAACACGUUGGUAUCUGCCCCCAAGUCAGGGAUAGCCAUUGGAAACGAUGAUUAAUACCGGAUAGUCUCUUCGGAGUAAAAAUUUAUUGCUUGGGGAGGAACCUGCGGGAUAUCAGCUAGUUGGUGAGGUAAUGGCUCACCAAGGCUAUGACGUCUACCUGGUCUGAGAGGAUGAUCAGGCACAAUGGAACUGAGACACGGUCCAUACUCCUACGGGAGGCAGCAGUGAGGAAUCUUCCACAAUGGACGAAAGUCUGAUGGAGCGACACCGCGUGAAGGAUGAAGGCCUAACGGUUGUAAACUUCUUUUCUGAAGGAGCAUAAUGAGAGUACUUCAGGAAUAAGGGACGGCUAAAUACGUGCCAGCAGCCGCCGCGUAACAC
rnacentral:rRNA from 1 species